rnacentral:rRNA from 1 species
AUGACCUUUGCCGCCGCCUACUCAUCGGAAACUCGUAAAUGGAGUGACAUAGUCUCCAUUGAGGAACCGAAUGCCAUCGAGACGACGGGGCACAGUGCUGUUGUGGGAAACAAGGUCUAUUUCCCAUGUGAGGAGACCGACAGUCUCGUCGAGUAUGACAAGGCUGGGCAAAAAUUGUCGGUGAUUGCGCUAGCUGAAGAAGAGGACGAUGACCUGCCGUGGCUUGACCUCAUGGGUGUGGAGGACGGGAUGCUGCUGUUAGCGACUAUGAUGAACUUUAGACUCUGCCUAUGGUCGAUGGAGGCUGGUCCCAGCAAAACUGCAGUAUGGGUGCGACGCAGAGUUAUCGAGCUCGAACCGUUGCUCCCUGCUACUGCCCUCAUUCGCAUGUGGGUGGUUGGUUUUGCGGAAGGUGUUGGUGUCAUCUUCCUGAAUACAAAGGCUGGGCUGUACACGGUUGAGCUCAGUUCAGGCCGAAGCAAGAAGGUGCACGGAGGGACAUCUUUCCGAGAAGUCAGGCCCUACAUGAGCUUCUACACUAGAGGCACAGAUAAACCGAAGCUAUCUUCACAUCUAUUCUCCUACACGAGGAUGCUGCAGAAGAAGGACGAAAGUGCCGCAGCUUAG